rnacentral:tRNA from 2 species
GGAGGCGUGGCAGAGCGGCCGAAUGCACUGGUUUUGAAAACCAGCGUGGUGCAAGCCACCGGGGGUUCGAAUCCUCCCGCCUCCGCCA